AGUGUAUCAUCUCAGCCACUAUGUUUUCUGCUGUUGAGGCUAGAAGCACCUUUAUAGCUCAGUUGGUAGAGCAGAGGAGUGUAAGAAGUUCCUAGUAUGACACUCUGUGAUGCGAACAUCGCUGGUUCAACUCCCGCUCAAAGCACAAGAUUUCAUUGGUGUAUGCACUUUUCAAGCUUUUUCAUUGACCAUGUAGCUUUAAUUGUUGUGUUGGCAAAGUGUGACGUCUCAGCCACUAUGUUUUCUGCGGUUGUGUCAAUAAGCACCUUCAAAGCUCAGUUGGUAGAGCAGAAGACUGUAAGAAGUUCCUCAUAUAAAACGCUAUUAUGCGAACAUCGCUGGUUCAACUCCCGCUCAAAGCACCAGAUUUCAUUGGUGUAUGCACUUUUCAAGCUUUUUCAUUGACCAUGUAGCUUUAAUUGUUGUGUUGGCAAAGUGUGUCGUCUCAGCCGCUAUGUUUUCUGCGGUUGAGUCUAGAAGCACCUUCAUAGCUCAGUUGGUAGAGCAGAGGACUGUAAGAAGUUCCUAGUAUGAAACUCUGUGAUGCGAACAUCGCUGGUUCAACUCCUGCUCAAAGCACCAGUUUUUAUUGGUGUUUGCACUUUUCAAGCUUUUUCAUUGACCAUGUAGCUUUAAUUGUUUUGUUGGCAAAGUGUAUCGUAUCAGCCACUAUGUUUUCUGCGGUUGAGUCUACAAGCACCUUCAUAGCUCAGUUGUUAGAGCAGAGGACUGUAAGAAGUUCCUAGUAUGAAACUCUGUGAUGCGAACAUCGCUGGUUCAACUCCCGCUCAAAGCACCACAUUUCAUUGGUGUAUGCACUUUUCAAGCUUUUUCAUUGACCAUGUAGCUUUAAUUGUUGUGUUGGCAAAGUGUAUCGUCUCAGCCACUAUGUUUUCUGCUGUUGAGUCUAUAAGCACCUUCAUAGCUCAGUUGGUAGAGCAGAGGACUGUAAGAAGUUCCUAGUAUGAAACUCUGUGAUGCGAACAUCACUGGUUCAAUUCCCGCUCAAAGCACCAGAUUUCAUUGAUGUAUGCACUUUUCAAGCUUUUUCAUUGACCAUGUAGCUUUAAUUGUUGUGUUGGCAAAGUGUGUCGUCUCAGCCACUAUGUUUUCUGCGGUUUUGUCUUGAACGCACCUUCAUAGCUCCGUUGUUAGAGCAGAGGACUGUAAGAAGUUCCUCAUAUCAAACGCUGUGAUGAAUAUCGCUGGUUCAACCCCCGCUCAAAGCACCAGUUUUCAUUCGUGUAUGCACUUUUCAAGCUUUUUCAUUGACCAUGUAGCUUUAAUUGUUGUGUUGGCAAAGUGUGUCGUCUCAGCCACUAUGUUUUCUGCGGUUGUGUCAAUAAGCACCUUUAUAGCUCAGUUGCUAGAGCAGAGGACUGUAAGAAGUUCCUAGUAUGAAACUCUUUGAUGCGAACAUCUCUGGUUCAACUCCCGCUCAAAGCACAAGAUUUCAUUGGUGUAUGCACUUUUCAAGCUUUUUUCAUUGACCAUGUAGCUUUAAUUGUUGUGUUGGCAAAGUGUGACGUCUCAGCCACUAUGUUUUCUGCGGUUGUGUCAAUAAGCACCUUCAAAGCUCAGUUGGUAGAGCAGAAGACUGUAAGAAGGUCCUCAUAUAAAACGCUAUUAUGGGAACAUCGCUGGUUCAACUCCCGCUCAAAGCACCAGAUUUCAUUGGUGUUUGCACUUUUCAAGCUUUUUCAUUGACCAUGUAGCUUUAAUUGUUGUGUUGGCAAAGUGUAUCGUCUCAGCCACUAUGUUUUCUGCUGUUGAGGCUAGAAGCACCUUUAUAGCUCAGUUGGUAGAGCAGAGGAGUGUAAGAAGUUCCUAGUAUGACACUCUGUGAUGCGAACAUCGCUGGUUCAACUCCCGCUCAAAGCACAAGAUUUCAUUGGUGUAUGCACUUUUCAAGCUUUUUCAUUGACCAUGUAGCUUUAAUUGUUGUGUUGGCAAAGUGUGACGUCUCAGCCACUAUGUUUUCUGCGGUUGUGUCAAUAAGCACCUUCAAAGCUCAGUUGGUAGAGCAGAAGACUGUAAGAAGUUCCUCAUAUAAAACGCUAGUAUGCGAACAUCGCUGGUUCAACUCCCGCUCAAAGCACCAGAUUUCAUUGGUGUAUGCACUUUUCAAGCUUUUUCAUUGACCAUGUAGCUUUAAUUGUUGUGUUGGCAAAGUGUAUCGUAUCAGCCACUAUGUUUUCUGCGGUUGAGUCUACAAGCACCUUCAUAGCUCCGUUGUUAGAGCAGAGGACUGUAAGAAGUUCCUAGUAUGAAACUCUGUGAUGCGAACAUCGCUGGUUCAACUCCCGCUCAAAGCACCAGUUUUUAUUGGUGUUUGCACUUUUCAAGCUUUUUCAUUGACCAUGUAGCUUUAAUUGUUUUGUUGGCAAAGUGUAUCGUAUCAGCCACUAUGUUUUCUGCGGUUGAGUCUACAAGCACCUUCAUAGCUCCGUUGUUAGAGCAGAGGACUGUAAGAAGUUCCUAGUAUGAAACUCUGUGAUGCGAACAUCGCUGGUUCAACUCCCGCUCAAAGCACCAGAUUUCAUUGGUGUAUGCACUUUUCAAGCUUUUUCAUUGACCAUGUAGCUUUAAUUGUUGUGUUGGCAAAGUGUAUCGUCUCAGCCACUAUGUUUUCUGCUGUUGAGUCUAUAAGCACCUUCAUAGCUCAGUUGGUAGAGCAGAGGACUGUAAGAAGUUCCUAGUAUGAAACUCUGUGAUGCGAACAUCACUGGUUCAAUUCCCGCUCAAAGCACCAGAUUUCAUUGGUGUAUGCACUUUUCAAGCUUUUUCAUUGACCAUGUAGCUUUAAUUGUUGUGUUGGCAAAGUGUGUCGUCUCAGCCACUAUGUUUUCUGCGGUUUUGUCUUGAACGCACCUUCAUAGCUCCGUUGUUAGAGCAGAGGACUGUAAGAAGUUCCUCAUAUCAAACGCUGUGAUGAAUAUCGCUGGUUCAACCCCCGCUCAAAGCACCAGUUUUCAUUCGUGUAUGCACUUUUCAAGCUUUUUCAUUGACCAUGUAGCUUUAAUUGUUGUGUUGGCAAAGUGUGUCGUCUCAGCCACUAUGUUUUCUGCGGUUGUGUCUACAAGCACCUUCAUAGCUCCGUUGUUAGAGCAGAGCACUGUAAGAAGUUCCUAGUAUGAAACUCUGUGAUGCGAACAUCGCUGGUUCAACUCCUGCUCAAAGCACCAGAUUUCAUUGGUGUAUGCACUUUUCAAGCUUUUUUCAUUGACCAUGUAGCUUUAAUUGUUGUGUUGGCAAAGUGUGACGUCUCAGCCACUAUGUUUUCUGCGGUUGUGUCAAUAAGCACCUUCAAAGCUCAGUUGGUAGAGCAGAAGACUGUAAGAAGGUCCUCAUAUAAAACGCUAUUAUGCGAACAUCGCUGGUUCAACUCCCGCUCAAAGCACCAGAUUUAAUUGGUGUUUGCACUUUUCAAGCUAUUUCAUUGACCAUGUAGCUUUAAUUGUUGUGUUGGCAAAGUGUAUCGUCUCAGCCACUAUGUUUUCUGCUGUUGAGGCUAGAAGCACCUUUAUAGCUCAGUUGGUAGAGCAGAGGACUGUAAGAAGUUCCUAGUAUGACACUCUGUGAUGUGAACAUCGCUGGUUCAACUCCCGCUCAAAGCACAAGAUUUCAUUGGUGUAUGCACUUUUCAAGCUUUUUCAUUGACCAUGUAGCUUUAAUUGUUGUGUUGGCAAAGUGUGACGUCUCAGCCACUAUGUUUUCUGCGGUUGUGUCAAUAAGCACCUUCAAAGCUCAGUUGGUAGAGCAGAAGACUGUAAGAAGUUCCUCAUAUAAAAAGCUAUUAUGCGAACAUCGCUGGUUCAACUCCCGCUCAAAGCACCAGAUUUCAUUGGUGUAUGCACUUUUCAAGCUUUUUCAUUGACCAUGUAGCUUUAAUUGUUGUGUUGGCAAAGUGUGUCGUCUCAGCCACUAUGUUUUCUGCGGUUGAGUCUAGAAGCACCUUCAUAGCUCAGUUGGUAGAGCAGAGGACUGUAAGAAGUUCCUAGUAUGAAACUCUGUGAUGCGAACAUCGCUGGUUCAACUCCCGCUCAAAGCACCAGUUUUUAUUGGUGUUUGCACUUUUCAAGCUUUUUCAUUGACCAUGUAGCUUUAAUUGUUUUGUUGGCAAAGUGUAUCGUAUCAGCCACUAUGUUUUCUGCGGUUGAGUCUACAAGCACCUUCAUAGCUCCGUUGUUAGAGCAGAGGACUGUAAGAAGUUCCUAGUAUGAAACUCUGUGAUGCGAACAUCGCUGGUUCAACUCCCGCUCAAAGCACCAGAUUUCAUUGGUGUAUGCACUUUUCAAGCUUUUUCGUUGACCAUGUAGCUUUAAUUGUUGUGUUGGCAAAGUGUAUCGUCUCAGCCACUAUGUUUUCUGCUGUUGAGUCUAUAAGCACCUUCAUAGCUCAGUUGGUAGAGCAGAGGACUGUAAGAAGUUCCUAGUAUGAAACUCUGUGAUGCGAACAUCACUGGUUCAACUCCCGCUCAAAGCACCAGAUUUCAUUGGUGUAUGCACUUUUCAAGCUUUUUCAUUGACCAUGUAGCUUUAAUUGUUGUGUUGGCAAAGUGUAUCGUCUCAGCCACUAUGUUUUCUGCUGUUGAGUCUAUAAGCACCUUCAUAGCUCAGUUGGUAGAGCAGAGGACUGUAAGAAGUUCCUAGUAUGAAACUCUGUGAUGCGAACAUCACUGGUUCAAUUCCCGCUCAAAGCACCAGAUUUCAUUGGUGUAUGCACUUUUCAAGCUUUUUCAUUGACCAUGUAGCUUUAAUUGUUGUGUUGGCAAAGUGUGUCGUCUCAGCCACUAUGUUUUCUGCGGUUUUGUCUUGAACGCACCUUCAUAGCUCCGUUGUUAGAGCAGAGGACUGUAAGAAGUUCCUCAUAUCAAACGCUGUGAUGAAUAUCGCUGGUUCAACCCCCGCUCAAAGCACCAGUUUUCAUUCGUGUAUGCACUUUUCAAGCUUUUUCAUUGACCAUGUAGCUUUAAUUGUUGUGUUGGCAAAGUGUGUCGUCUCAGCCACUAUGUUUUCUGCGGUUGUGUCUACAAGCACCUUCAUAGCUCCGUUGUUAGAGCAGAGCACUGUAAGAAGUUCCUAGUAUGAAACUCUGUGAUGCGAACAUCGCUGGUUCAACUCCUGCUCAAAGCACCAGAUUUCAUUGGUGUAUGCACUUUUCAAGCUUUUUCAUUGACCAUGUAGCUUUAAUUGUUGUGUUGGCAAAGUGUGACGUCUCAGCCACUAUGUUUUCUGCGGUUGUGUCAAUAAGCACCUUCAAAGCUCAGUUGGUAGAGCAGAAGACUGUAAGAAGGUCCUCAUAUAAAACGCUAUUAUGCGAACAUCGCUGGUUCAACUCCCGCUCAAAGCACCAGAUUUAAUUGGUGUUUGCACUUUUCAAGCUUUUUCAUUGACCAUGUAGCUUUAAUUGUUGUGUUGGCAAAGUGUAUCGUCUCAGCCACUAUGUUUUCUGCUGUUGAGGCUAGAAGCACCUUUAUAGCUCAGUUGGUAGAGCAGAGGACUGUAAGAAGUUCCUAGUAUGACACUCUGUGAUGCGAACAUCGCUGGUUCAACUCCCGCUCAAAGCACAAGAUUUCAUUGGUGUAUGCACUUUUCAAGCUUUUUCAUUGACCAUGUAGCUUUAAUUGUUGUGUUGGCAAAGUGUGACGUCUCAGCCACUAUGUUUUCUGCGGUUGUGUCAAUAAGCACCUUCAAAGCUCAGUUGGUAGAGCAGAAGACUGUAAGAAGUUCCUCAUAUAAAAAGCUAUUAUGCGAACAUCGCUGGUUCAACUCCCGCUCAAAGCGCCAGAUUUCAUUGGUGUAUGCACUUUUCAAGCUUUUUCAUUGACCAUGUAGCUUUAAUUGUUGUGUUGGCAAAGUGUGUCGUCUCAGCCACUAUGUUUUCUGCGGUUGAGUCUAGAAGCACCUUCAUAGCUCAGUUGGUAGAGCAGAGGACUGUAAGAAGUUCCUAGUAUGAAACUCUGUGAUGCGAACAUCGCUGGUUCAACUCCCGCUCAAAGCACCAGUUUUUAUUGGUGUUUGCACUUUUCAAGCUUUUUCAUUGACCAUGUAGCUUUAAUUGUUUUGUUGGCAAAGUGUAUCGUAUCAGCCACUAUGUUUUCUGCGGUUGAGUCUACAAGCACCUUCAUAGCUCCGUUGUUAGAGCAGAGGACUGUAAGAAGUUCCUAGUAUGAAACUCUGUGAUGCGAACAUCGCUGGUUCAACUCCCGCUCAAAGCACCAGAUUUCAUUGGUGUAUGCACUUUUCAAGCUUUUUCGUUGACCAUGUAGCUUUAAUUGUUGUGUUGGCAAAGUGUAUCGUCUCAGCCACUAUGUUUUCUGCUGUUGAGUCUAUAAGCACCUUCAUAGCUCAGUUGGUAGAGCAGAGGACUGUAAGAAGUUCCUAGUAUGAAACUCUGUGAUGCGAACAUCACUGGUUCAAUUCCCGCUCAAAGCACCAGAUUUCAUUGAUGUAUGCACUUUUCAAGCUUUUUCAUUGACCAUGUAGCUUUAAUUGUUGUGUUGGCAAAGUGUGUCGUCUCAGCCACUAUGUUUUCUGCGGUUUUGUCUUGAACGCACCUUCAUAGCUCCGUUGUUAGAGCAGAGGACUGUAAGAAGUUCCUCAUAUCAAACGCUGUGAUGAAUAUCGCUGGUUCAACCCCCGCUCAAAGCACCAGUUUUCAUUCGUGUAUGCACUUUUCAAGCUUUUUCAUUGACCAUGUAGCUUUAAUUGUUGUGUUGGCAAAGUGUGUCGUCUCAGCCACUAUGUUUUCUGCGGUUGUGUCUACAAGCACCUUCAUAGCUCCGUUGUUAGAGCAGAGGACUGUAAGAAGUUCCUAGUAUGAAACUCUGUGAUGCGAACAUCGCUGGUUCAACUCCCGCUCAAAGCACCAGAUUUCAUUGGUGUAUGCACUUUUCAAGCUUUUUCAUUGACCAUGUAGCUUUAAUUGUUGUGUUGGCAAAGUGUAUCGUCUCAGCCACUAUGUUUUCUGCUGUUGGGUUUAUAAGCACCUUCAUAGCUCAGUUGGUAGAGCAGAGGACUGUAAGAAGUUCCUAGUAUGAAACUCUGUGAUGCGAACAUCACUGGUUCAAUUCGCGAUCAAAGCACCAGAUUUCAUUGAUGUAUGCACUUUUCAAGCUUUUUCAUUGACCAUGUAGCUUUAAUUGUUGUGUUGGCAAAGUGUGUCGUCUCAGCCACUAUGUUUUUUGCGGUUGAGUCUAUAAGCACCUUCAUAGCUCAGUUGUUAGAGCAGAGGACUGUAAGAAGUUCCUACUAUGAAACGCUGUGAUGCGAACAUCGCUGGUUCAACUCCUGCUCAAAGCACCAGAUUUCAUUGGUGUAUGCACUUUUCAAGCUUUUUCAUUGACCAUUCAGCUUAAAUACUUGUGUUGUUAAAGUGUGUCGUCUCAGCCACUAUGUUUUCUGCGGUUGUGUCAAUAAGCACCUUUAUAGCUCAGUUGGUAGAGCAGAGGACUGUAAGAAGUUCCUAGUAUGAAACGCUGUGAUGCGAACAUCGCUGGUUCAACUCCCGCCCACAGCACCAGAUUUCAUUGGUGUAUGCACUUUUCAAAAUUUUUCAUUGACCAUUAAGCUUAAAUACUUGUGUUGUUAAAGUGUGUCGUCUCAGCCACUAUGUUUUUCCGCGGUUUUGUCUAUAAGCACCUUCAUAGCUCAGUUGGUAGAGCAGAGAACUGUAAGAAGUUCCUAGUAAGAAACCCUAUGAUGCGAACAUCACUGGUUCAAUUCCCGCUCAAAGCACCAGAUUUCAUUGGUGUUUGCACUUUUCAAACUUUUUCAUUGACCAUGUAGCUUUAAUUGUUGUGUUGGCAAAGUGUGUCGUCUCAGCCACUAUGUUUUCUGCGGUUGUAUCUAUAAGUACCUUCAUAGCUCAGUUGGUAGAGCAGACGACUGUAAGAACUUUCUUUUAUGAAACGCUGUGAUGCCAACAUCACUGGUUCAACUCCAGCUCAAAGCACCAGAUUUCAUUGGUGUAUGUGCUUUUUCAUUGACCAUGUAGCUUUAAUUGUUGUGUUGGCAAAGUUUGUCGUCUCAGCCACUAUGUUUUCUGCGGUUGUGUCCAUAAGCACCUUCAUAGCUCAGUUGGCAGAGCAGAGAACUGUAAGCAGUACCCUGUAUGAAACGCUCUAAUGUGAACAUUGCUGGUUCAACUCCAGCUCAAAGCACCAGAUUUCAUUGGUGUAUGCACUUUUCAAGCUUUUUCAUUGACCAUGUAGCUUAAAUACUUGUGUUGGCAAAGUGUGUCGUCUCAGCCACUAUGUUUUCUGCGGUUGAAUCUAUAAGCACCUUCAUAGCUCAGUUGGUAGAGCAGAGGACUGUAAGAAGUUCCACGUAUGAAACGCUGUCUUGCGAACAUCGCUCCUUCAACUCCAGCUCAAAGCACCAGAUUUCAUUGGUGUAUGCACUUUUCAAGCUUUUUCAUUGACCAUGUAUCUAGAACUGUUGUGUUGGCAAAGUGUGUCGUCUCAGCCACUAUGUUUUCUGCGGUUGUGUCAAUUAUCACUUUCAAAGCUCAGUUGGUAGAGCAGAAGACUGUAAGAAGUUCCUCAUAUAAAAAGCUAUUAUGCGAACAUCGCUGGUUCAACUCCCGCUCAAAGCACCAGAUUUCAUUGGUGUAUGCACUUUUCAAGCUUUUUCAUUGACCAUGUAGCUUUAAUUGUUGUGUUGGCAAAGUGUGUCGUCUCAGCCACUAUGUUUUCUGCGGUUGAGUCUAGAAGCACCUUCAUAGCUCAGUUGGUAGAGCAGAGGACUGUAAGAAGUUCCUAGUAUGAAACUCUGUGAUGCGAACAUCGCUGGUUCAACUCCCGCUCAAAGCACCAGUUUUUAUUGGUGUUUGCACUUUUCAAGCUUUUUCAUUGACCAUGUAGCUUUAAUUGUUUUGUUGGCAAAGUGUAUCGUAUCAGCCACUAUGUUUUCUGCGGUUGAGUCUACAAGCACCUUCAUAGCUCCGUUGUUAGAGCAGAGGACUGUAAGAAGUUCCUAGUAUGAAACUCUGUGAUGCGAACAUCGCUGGUUCAACUCCCGCUCAAAGCACCAGAUUUCAUUGGUGUAUGCACUUUUCAAGCUUUUUCGUUGACCAUGUAGCUUUAAUUGUUGUGUUGGCAAAGUGUAUCGUCUCAGCCACUAUGUUUUCUGCUGUUGAGUCUAUAAGCACCUUCAUAGCUCAGUUGGUAGAGCAGAGGACUGUAAGAAGUUCCUAGUGUGAAACUCUGUGAUGCGAACAUCACUGGUUCAAUUCCCGCUCAAAGCACCAGAUUUCAUUGAUGUAUGCACUUUUCAAGCUUUUUCAUUGACCAUGUAGCUUUAAUUGUUGUGUUGGCAAAGUGUGUCGUCUCAGCCACUAUGUUUUCUGCGGUUUUGUCUUGAACGCACCUUCAUAGCUCCGUUGUUAGAGCAGAGGACUGUAAGAAGUUCCUCAUAUCAAACGCUGUGAUGAAUAUCGCUGGUUCAACCCCCGCUCAAAGCACCAGUUUUCAUUCGUGUAUGCACUUUUCAAGCUUUUUCAUUGACCAUGUAGCUUUAAUUGUUGUGUUGGCAAAGUGUGUCGUCUCAGCCACUAUGUUUUCUGCGGUUGUGUCUACAAGCACCUUCAUAGCUCCGUUGUUAGAGCAGAGGACUGUAAGAAGUUCCUAGUAUGAAACUCUGUGAUGCGAACAUCGCUGGUUCAACUCCCGCUCAAAGCACCAGAUUUCAUUGGUGUAUGCACUUUUCAAGCUUUUUCAUUGACCAUGUAGCUUUAAUUGUUGUGUUGGCAAAGUGUAUCGUCUCAGCCACUAUGUUUUCUGCUGUUGGGUUUAUAAGCACCUUCAUAGCUCAGUUGGUAGAGCAGAGGACUGUAAGAAGUUCCUAGUAUGAAACUCUGUGAUGCGAACAUCACUGGUUCAAUUCGCGAUCAAAGCACCAGAUUUCAUUGAUGUAUGCACUUUUCAAGCUUUUUCAUUGACCAUGUAGCUUUAAUUGUUGUGUUGGCAAAGUGUGUCGUCUCAGCCACUAUGUUUUUUGCGGUUGAGUCUAUAAGCACCUUCAUAGCUCAGUUGUUAGAGCAGAGGACUGUAAGAAGUUCCUACUAUGAAACGCUGUGAUGCGAACAUCGCUGGUUCAACUCCUGCUCAAAGCACCAGAUUUCAUUGGUGUAUGCACUUUUCAAGCUUUUUCAUUGACCAUGUAGCUUUAAUUGUUGUGUUGGCAAAGUGUGUCGUCUCAGCCACUAUGUUUUCUGCGGUUGUGUCUACAAGCACCUUCAUAGCUCCGUUGUUAGAGCAGAGGACUGUAAGAAGUUCCUAGUAUGAAACUCUGUGAUGCGAACAUCGCUGGUUCAACUCCCGCUCAAAGCACCAGAUUUCAUUGGUGUAUGCACUUUUCAAAAUUUUUCAUUGACCAUUAAGCUUAAAUACUUGUGUUGUUAAAGUGUGUCGUCUCAGCCACUAUGUUUUUCCGCGGUUUUGUCUAUAAGCACCUUCAUAGCUCAGUUGGUAGAGCAGAGAACUGUAAGAAGUUCCUAGUAAGAAACCCUAUGAUGCGAACAUCACUGGUUCAAUUCCCGCUCAAAGCACCAGAUUUCAUUGGUGUUUGCACUUUUCAAACUUUUUCAUUGACCAUGUAGCUUUAAUUGUUGUGUUGGCAAAGUGUGUCGUCUCAGCCACUAUGUUUUCUGCGGUUGUAUCUAUAAGCACCUUCAUAGCUCAGUUGUUAGAGCAGAGGACUGUAAGAAGUUCCUACUAUGAAACGCUGUGAUGCGAACAUCGCUGGUUCAACUCCUGCUCAAAGCACCAGAUUUCAUUGGUGUAUGCACUUUUCAAGCUUUUUCAUUGACCAUUCAGCUUAAAUACUUGUGUUGUUAAAGUGUGUCGUCUCAGCCACUAUGUUUUCUGCGGUUGUGUCAAUAAGCACCUUUAUAGCUCAGUUGGUAGAGCAGAGGACUGUAAGAAGUUCCUAGUAUGAAACUCUGUGAUGCGAACAUCGCUGGUUCAACUCCCGCCCACAGCACCAGAUUUCAUUGGUGUAUGCACUUUUCAAAAUUUUUCAUUGACCAUUAAGCUUAAAUACUUGUGUUGUUAAAGUGUGUCGUCUCAGCCACUAUGUUUUUCCGCGGUUUUGUCUAUAAGCACCUUCAUAGCUCAGUUGGUAGAGCAGAGAACUGUAAGAAGUUCCUAGUAAGAAACCCUAUGAUGCGAACAUCACUGGUUCAAUUCCCGCUCAAAGCACCAGAUUUCAUUGGUGUUUGCACUUUUCAAACUUUUUCAUUGACCAUGUAGCUUUAAUUGUUGUGUUGGCAAAGUGUGUCGUCUCAGCCACUAUGUUUUCUGCGGUUGUAUCUAUAAGUACCUUCAUAGCUCAGUUGGUAGAGCAGACGACUGUAAGAACUUUCUUUUAUGAAACGCUGUGAUGCCAACAUCACUGGUUCAACUCCAGCUCAAAGCACCAGAUUUCAUUGGUGUAUGUGCUUUUUCAUUGACCAUGUAGCUUUAAUUGUUGUGUUGGCAAAGUUUGUCGUCUCAGCCACUAUGUUUUCUGCGGUUGUGUCCAUAAGCACCUUCAUAGCUCAGUUGGCAGAGCAGAGAACUGUAAGCAGUACCCUGUAUGAAACGCUCUAAUGUGAACAUUGCUGGUUCAACUCCAGCUCAAAGCACCAGAUUUCAUUGGUGUAUGCACUUUUCAAGCUUUUUCAUUGACCAUGUAGCUUAAAUACUUGUGUUGGCAAAGUGUGUCGUCUCAGCCACUAUGUUUUCUGCGGUUGAAUCUAUAAGCACCUUCAUAGCUCAGUUGGUAGAGCAGAGGACUGUAAGAAGUUCCACGUAUGAAACGCUGUCAUGCGAACAUCGCUCCUUCAACUCCAGCUCAAAGCACCAGAUUUCAUUGGUGUAUGCACUUUUCAAGCUUUUUCAUUGACCAUGUAUCUAGAACUGUUGUGUUGGCAAAGUGUGUCGUCUCAGCCACUAUGUUUUCUGCGGUUGUGUCAAUUAUCACCUUCAUAGCUUAGUUGUUAGA